UGUGUGUCUUUGUGUCAGCCUGUAGGCAAAGUUUGCAUCAUGAUUGACCUAUUUUGAAAUUUUAUUCUUAUUGCCUUUUAGCCUGUAAGUUAGAAAAUGUCACAUGCAAAAGAAACAUUUGUAUAAGUUGCUGCUGUAAUUCUUUUAUUUGAGUCUCAUUUGUUGUUUUGUAUCGAAAUUAUCACGUGUCUCCUCCCAACCCCUUCCUGCUCCCAGCCCUAAACCCUCAGAAAAUACCAGAAAGACCACAUGACCCAAUGCAAUAAAUUUUCAGAUUAGAGUUAUGAUGGUGGUAGGAUGAGCUGGUUUUAAUUUGAGGAAAUACCAAAACCAAGAUUUUUUCUCCCUACCCCUCUGUGGCACCAUUGUUUCCUCUCUGUCUGUGUCAAACCAGGUGAGCUUCUUAAAAGCCUCACCCAGCACUACACGGUAAACACAAAGUGUGAAUAUGAUACAACCCUCUGCCCUUCCUCCACUCUCCUCCCACCUGACUGUUACUGCAAGGUUUGGUGUGGAUCCGAUGCCAAGUAAAUACAGGGCCAGCAUCGUUGGUAUCGAUACUGCAGACUAACUUUUCAGUUGUCGGUGGGUUCAGAAUAAAGGUUAGGUGCUGUAUGGGUCAGGUCUGGAAUGAAGAUGGGAUUGUCAAUGCUCACAGGGUCUAAGAAUCACACUAAUUCCUGGGUAGGUUUUCUGUAGGUCAGAUGAGCAAGAAUCUGGAAAUCACAAUGUGAGGGAAAACCUCCUUAAACAGUAUUAAUUUUUGACAGUUUGGUCAAUAUUUGUGCAAAAUUUCUGUCACUGAAAUAGGAAAUGCUCUUAUAAGAAGCAUUUUUGCAACAAAUUUUUUGCUUACUUUUGUAAUGUUGAAAAUGAUCUUUUAAAAAAAAUCCCUCCAUUGUUAUUGUCUUUAAUAAUAAAGACUGAUGUCUUUUCAGAGCAGAGCGCAUGUUUAAAUUUUAAAGACCGCAGUCAAUAGUUUUUGUAUAGUGGUGAGAAGCUAAAAUCCUGAUUGUGAUUAAUGAUUAAUUCAUUUUGUAGCCCUACUACAGCACUAGUCUUUGUAACUGGCUCAUGGGUUCAGUAUCUUCCUGCUUGCAGUCUGAUCAUCAGAUGUGUCUCAGUCCGACUUCUCCUUCUCUGCCUCCUUUUUCCUCAGUUUUGGUUGAGAAAUGCACAACAGGUGAAGAGCUUGUUUUAUACAUCAGGCAGGAACAAACUGCCAGAGACAUGGAAGAAAUUAAAGUAAUACUUUCCACCACUAACAUGUAUGUGGUGCAACUAGCGUCUUGGGGUGUUAAUCACUGCUAAGAACUACUCCUGGGUUUUUUUGUACAC
ensembl:lncRNA